AAUGGGCGAAAGCCUGAUGCAGCAACGCCGCUUGAAGGAUGACGGCCUUCGGGUUGUAAACCUCUUUUAGCANGGAGAAGCGAAAGUGACGGUACCUGCAGAAAAAGCGCCGGCUAACUACGUGCCAGCAGCCGCGGUAAUACGUAGGGCGCAAGCGUUAUCCGGAAUUAUUGGGCGUAAAGAGCUCGUAGGCGGUUUGUCGCGUCUGCUGUGAAAUCCCGAGGCUCAACCUCGGGCCUGCAGUGGGUACGGGCAGACUAGAGUGCGGUAGAGGAGAUUGGAAUUCCUGGUGUAGCGGUGGAAUGCGCAGAUAUCAGGAGGAACACCGAUGGCGAAGGCAGAUCUCUGGGCCGUAACUGACGCUGAGGAGCGAAAGGGUGGGGAGCAAACAGGCUUAGAUACCCUGGUAGUCCACCCCGUAAACGUUGGGAACUAGUUGUGGGGUCCAUUCCACGGAUUCCGUGACGCAGCUAACGCAUUAAGUUCCCCGCCUGGGGAGUACGGCCGCAAGGCUAAAACUCAAAGGAAUUGACGGGGACCCGCACAAGCGGCGGAGCAUGCGGAUUAAUUCGAUGCAACGCGAAGAACCUUACCAAGGCUUGACAUAUACGAGAACGGGCCAGAAAUGGUCAACUCUUUGGACACUCGUAAACAGGUGGUGCAUGGUUGUCGUCAGCUCGUGUCGUGAGAUGUUGGGUUAAGUCCCGCAACGAGCGCAACCCUCGUUCUAUGUUGCCAGCACGUCAUGGUGGGAACUCAUGGAAUACUGCCGGGGUCAACUCGGAGGAAGGUGAGGAUGACGUCAAAUCAUCAUGCCCCUUAUGUCUUGGGCUUCACGCNUGCUACAAUGGCCGGUACAAUGGGCUGCAAUACCGCAAGGUGGAGCGAAUCCCAAAAAGCCGGUCCCAGUUCGGAUUGAGGUCUGCAACUCGACCUCAUGAAGUCGGAGUCGCUAGUAAUCGCAGAUCAGCAACGCUGCGGUGAAUACGUUCCCGGGUCUUGUACACACCGCCCGUCAAGUCAUGAAAGUCGGUAACACCUGAAGCCGGUGGCCCAACCC
rnacentral:rRNA from 1 species